rnacentral:rRNA from 1 species
ACGGAAGGCAGCAGUGAGGGAUAUUGCGCAAUGGAGGAAACUCUGACGCAGCGACGCCGCGUGAAGGAAGAAGGUUUUCGAAUUGUAAACUUCUGUCCUCAGGGAAGAAACAAAUGACGGUACCUGGGGAGGAAGCCCCGGCUAACUACGUGCCAGCAGCCGCGGUAAUACGUAGGGGGCAAGCGUUGUCCGGAAUUAUUGGGUGUAAAGGGCGCGUAGGUGGCUAAGUAUGUCGAACGUGAAAUCUGUGGGCUUAACUUACAGUCUGCGUUCGAAACUGCAUGGCUUGAGUAAAGUAGAGGCAAGUGGAAUUUCCAGUGUAGCGGUGAAAUGCGUAGAUAUUGGAAGGAACACCAGUGGCGAAGGCGGCUUGCUGGGCUUUUACUGACGCUGAGGCGCGAAAGCGUGGGUAGCAAACAGGAUUAGAUACCCUGGUA